rnacentral:rRNA from 1 species
GACGAACGCUGGCGGCGUGCUUAACACAUGCAAGUCGAACGGAAAGGCCCUGCUUUUGUGGGGUGCUCGAGUGGCGAACGGGUGAGUAACACGUGAGUAACCUGCCCUUGACUUUGGGAUAACUUCAGGAAACUGGGGCUAAUACCGGAUAGGAGCUCCUGCUGCAUGGUGGGGGUUGGAAAGUUUCGGCGGUUGGGGAUGGACUCGCGGCUUAUCAGCUUGUUGGUGGGGUAGUGGCUUACCAAGGCUUUGACGGGUAGCCGGCCUGAGAGGGUGACCGGCAACAUUGGGACUGAGAUACGGCCCAGACUCCUACGGGAGGCAGCAGUGGGGAAUAUUGCACAAUGGGCGGAAGCCUGAUGAAGCAACGCCGCGUGCGGGAUGACGGCCUUCGGGUUGUAAACCGCUUUCGCCUGUGACGAAGCGUGAGUGACGGUAAUGGGUAAAGAAGCACCGGCUAACUACGUG